rnacentral:rRNA from 1 species
AGAGUUUGAUCCUGGCUCAGAACGAACGCUGGCGGCGUGGAUAAGACAUGCAAGUCGAGCGAGAUUUUUCGUUGUAGCAAUACGAUGGAAAAUUUAGCGGCGAACGGGUGCUUAACACGUGGGCAACCUGCCAUGAAGUGGGGGAUAGCUCGCCGAAAGGCGAAUUAAUACCGCAUGUGAUUAGAGAGGACAUCCUUUCGAAAUUAAAGUCGGGGCAACCUGACGCUUCUUGUGGGGCCCGCGGCCUAUCAGCUAGUUGGUGAGGUAACGGCUCACCAAGGCUUUGACGGGUAGCUGGUCUGAGAGGACGACCAGCCACACUGGGACUGAGACACGGCCCAGACACCUACGGGUGGCAGCAGUCGAGAAUUUUUGACAAUGGGGGAAACCCUGAUCGAGCGACGCCGCGCGGAGGAUGAAGGUCUUCGGAUUGUAAACUCCUGUCAUUUGGGAACAAGGUGCACACGUUAACUGCGUGAGUAUUGAUAGUACCAGAAGAGGAAGGGACGGCUAACUCUGUGCCAGCAGCCGCGGUAAUACAGAGGUCUCAAGCGUUGUUCGGAUUCAUUGGGCGUAAAGGGUGCGUAGGCGGCGCGGUAAGUCGGGUGUGAAAUCUCGGAGCUUAACUCCGAAACUGCAUUCGAUACUGCCGUGCUUGAGGACUGGAGAGGAGACUGGAAUUUACGGUGUAGCGGUGAAAUGCGUAGAUAUCGUAAGGAAGACCAGUGGCGAAGGCGGGUCUCUGGACAGUUCCUGACGCUGAGGCACGAAGGUCAGGGGAGCAAACGGGAUUAGAUACCCUAGUAGUCC